GAGUCAAGAAAACCCUUCAAAGGCUGUAGCAUCCACCUUGCUUGUGCUAGAACGCAAACUUGUUCUGUGGCCCUUCCAGGCACUGGGGGUCCAGGCCUAUCUCCCCCACCUCACCUUCCAGCCUCUCCCAGGCUCACGUGCUCCAAUCCCACCAGCUCCUUCCUGCCCCUCAGAUGCACAGCUGGGCUCCCCUCUUCAGGCCCUCUGCACUGGCUGUUCCCUCUGGCCAGAAUGGUCUUCCCUUAGAGUGCUUCAGAGAGCCUCCUCCUCGGGCCUCAGCCCGAAGCUCGCCUCCUCGCAGAGCCCAGUUCUUUCUGCCCCAACAGAAGCAGCACCCGCUCUGCUUGGGGUCCCAUCACCCACUUUCAGGGAACUUGCCGUUGUCCGAAAUCCACCACAUCCCUUUGUUUCUCCCCACUGGAGUGUGGGCUGUGUGGAAGCAGGGGACUUAGGAUGAGGACAUAAUCUACUAUGACUGCUGUCCAUGUAAUAAUAAGAGGACACACCCGGGGCUACAUCUACAGGGAUGACUAUCUAUAUAAACAGCAAUACAGCAGCCAUCUGGCAGCCAAGGAAGGACGCAUCAGGAGACACUGACCCUGCCAGCACCUUGAACUUGGAGUUCCAGCCUACAGAAUCAUGAGAAAAUACAUGGAUGCCCAUCCAGUGAAAGGAGCUGCUUUAACUUCUCCCUCCCAAGGAGUUUCAGAGACAGAUCUGUUCUUCUGUGUUCAAUACAAAAUGAUCUGACCACAAAUCCCUCAGUUCCGUCUCUAUGAAUAUACCCACUUCAAAUGUGAAAUUCUAUCCACCAGUAAAGUCAUGAAAUUUCUUGCCUAAAUUCUAUUAAUUAAAAUGAGAUGUGGUAACAUUC